UGGAGGAAAAACAUUGGAACACGUGUUAACUAUGCUACUGUGUUGUACGGAGUUAUACGCUGUGGUUAUACGUGUUUUGUUCUAAAGUUUGAAGUAUUAUGGAGUUAUCUGAAUACGCACAAGGUUUAGAAACAAUUGUUAGAAAUCGAUACAUCGAUAAGGUUAAUGUUAUUGGGGUAGAUCCAUAUUUAAUUCAUCCCCAAACUUGUUCUCAAGAUGUGGAGAAUUUUCCCAAAAUAGAAUUCCCUGACAUCGUUAUGUACUUAGUGGAUACAAAAAGUGCUUAUACUAUGCAACAAUUAAAAGGAUACAAGGGAUUGGAUGCAUAUAAAUAUGCUACUUGUGGCUGGGUUAAACAGGUGGCUGUGAAGGUCUUUGGGUCUUAUGUCGUAGUCUUGGGAAAGGUACUUCAUUCCCAACGAUUAAAUGAACCUAUGUUGCAACCAUGGAUCAUUGCUGAAAAAGAGGGCAAUAUAUGCUCUGCCCAUUGCACGUGCAUCGCAGGUUUGGGGGAGGUAUGUACUCACGUUGGGGCCCUUCUUUUUACUGUGGAAUUAAACGUCCGGGAUUUGGAAGAGACUACAGUAACAGGAAAGAAGGCCUAUUGGAUGCCUCCUUCAGGAAAACCUGCUCAACCACAAAGAGUCUCAAAUAUAGAUUUUUCGGUACCAAAAAAAAGAUUGCCCCGGGACGAACCACUCACUGUUCGUGAUAAAGGUCAAGAAAACAUUCCAUCAUUAUCCCGAACAGAGAGACAAGAACUUUUAAAUUUAUUUGCGUCCACUUCGCAAGGAUCCGCAGCGCAUUUAAUUACUAAUCCAUUUGCCCAAAGUAAAAAAGAAGAGAGGGACCAAAAAAAGAAGCAUUGGAUUACAACUUUAUUCAGUGAAGAUCACAUUCAUAAAAGCUUGUGAGCUGCAGGAAUUAGGUGCGUCUUUGGAUUUUUCUAUACCAGUUGCUGAUUGUAAGGAGAUUCACAAUACGAUUAAAGAACAAGCGAAGUGUAAAGAUUGGUUUUACUAUAGAGCUGGAAGGAUUACAGCGUCCAAAUUCAAAAGUUGUUGCCGAACAAAUAUCGCGAAUCCCUCUUUACCUUUACUCAAGUCUGUGUGUUAUCCAAUGACAUACAGUUUUAAAACAAGAGCAGUGGAUUAUGGAUGCACCCACGAAAGACGUGCAAUUCAAG